rnacentral:rRNA from 1 species
UACGGAGGGUGCAAGCGUUAUCCGGAUUCACUGGGUUUAAAGGGUGCGUAGGUGGGCAGGUAAGUCAGUGGUGAAAUCUUCGAGCUUAACUCGGAAACUGCCGUUGAUACUAUCUGUCUUGAAUACCGUGGAGGUGAGCGGAAUAUGUCAUGUAGCGGUGAAAUGCUUAGAUAUGACAUAGAACACCAAUUGCGAAGGCAGCUCGCUACACGAAUAUUGACUCUGAGGCACGAAAGCGUGGGGAUCAAACAGG